CAAGUCGAACGGCAGCACGGGGGCAACCCUGGUGGCGAGUGGCGAACGGGUGAGUAAUACAUCGGAACGUACCCAGUAGUGGGGGAUAACGUAGCGAAAGCUACGCUAAUACCGCAUACGAACUACGGUUGAAAGCGGGGGAUCGCAAGACCUCGCGCUAUUGGAGCGGCCGAUGGCAGAUUAGCUAGUUGGUGGGGUAAAGGCCCACCAAGGCGACGAUCUGUAGCUGGUCUGAGAGGACGACCAGCCACACUGGGACUGAGACACUGCCCAGACUCCUACGGGAGGCAGCAGUGGGGAAUUUUGGACAAUGGGGGAAACCCUGAUCCAGCAAUGCCGCGUGUGUGAAGAAGGCCUUCGGGUUGUAAAGCACUUUUGGCAGGAACGAAACGGCUUGGGUUAAUACCCCGGGCUAAUGACGGUACCUGCAGAAUAAGCACCGGCUAACUACGUGCCAGCAGCCGCGGUAAUACGUAGGGUGCAAGCGUUAAUCGGAAUUACUGGGCGUAAAGCGAGCGCAGGCGGUUAUGUAAGACAGAUGUGAAAUCCCCGGGCUUAACCUGGGAACUGCAUUUGUGACUGCAUGGCUAGAGUGCGUCAGAGGGGGGUGGAAUUCCACGUGUAGCAGUGAAAUGCGUAGAGAUGUGGAGGAACACCGAUGGCGAAGGCAGCCCCCUGGGAUGACACUGACGCUCAUGCUCGAAAGCGUGGGGAGCAAACAGGAUUAGAUACCCUGGUAGUCCACGCCCUAAACGAUGUCUACUAGUUGUCGGGCCUUAAUUGGCUUGUAACGCAGCUAACGCGUGAAGUAGACCGCCUGGGGAGUACGGUCGCAAGAUUAAAACUCAAAGGAAUUGACGG
rnacentral:rRNA from 1 species